rnacentral:misc_RNA from 1 species
CUUAGAUCUGCAACUACUAUAUAAACGACCUCCCCGCCCUCUUCUCCUUCAUAACACACAUUUACAGAUCCAUCUUUUUCCUCUUUCAUUUUCUCCUCAAAUUCGUCUCUAAGAGUUAAAAAAGAAGAAAGAAAAAUGGUGAAGAUUUGCUGCAUAGGAGCUGGAUAUGUUGGUGGCCCCACCAUGGCAGUCAUUGCACUCAAAUGCCCCAAGAUUGAAGUGGUCGUUGUUGAUAUCUCUGUACCUCGCAUUACUGCCUGGAACAGUGACACACUUCCCAUCUAUGAGCCAGGCCUUGACGAUGUGGUCAAGCAAUGCCGAGGCAAGAAUCUCUUCUUCAGCACAGAUGUGGAGAAACAUGUGCACGAGGCUGAUAUAGUUUUUGUUUCUGUCAACACUCCUACCAAGACUAGGGGUCUUGGAGCAGGCAAGGCUGCAGAUCUUACCUACUGGGAGAGUGCAGCCCGUAUGAUUGCCGAUGUCUCGAAAUCUGACAAAAUAGUUGUUGAGAAAUCAACUGUUCCUGUCAAAACUGCCGAGGCAAUUGAAAAGAUUUUGACCCACAACAGCAAGGGAAUUAACUUCCAGAUCCUCUCAAACCCUGAGUUCCUUGCAGAAGGGACCGCUAUCGAAGACCUUUUUAAACCUGACAGGGUCCUAAUCGGAGGUCGGGAAACUCCAGGGGGGCAGAAGGCUAUCCAAGCAUUGAAGGAUGUUUAUGCCCAAUGGGUCCCUGAAGAACGCAUCCUCACCACCAAUUUGUGGUCAGCUGAGCUCUCAAAAUUGGCUGCCAAUGCAUUUUUGGCACAAAGAAUCUCUUCUGUGAAUGCCAUGUCAGCUCUUUGUGAGGCUACUGGAGCAAAUGUCUCACAGGUAGCGUAUGCUGUUGGAAAGGACUCGAGGAUUGGUCCCAAGUUCCUUAAUGCCAGUGUUGGUUUUGGUGGCUCUUGCUUCCAGAAGGAUAUUCUGAAUCUGGUUUACAUUUGUGAGUGCAAUGGUCUUCCAGAGGUAGCUGAAUACUGGAAACAGGUUAUCAAGAUCAAUGACUAUCAGAAGAAUCGUUUUGUCAACCGCGUUGUUGCCUCCAUGUUCAACACAGUAUCAGGCAAGAAAGUCGCCAUUUUAGGUUUCGCUUUCAAGAAGGAUACUGGUGAUACUCGAGAGACCCCUGCAAUUGAUGUUUGCAAGGGACUGCUGGGGGACAAGGCUAAUUUGAGCAUAUAUGAUCCUCAAGUGAGUGAGGACCAAAUUCAGAGAGACCUCUCAAUGAAAAAGUUCGAUUGGGAUCAUCCUCUUCACCUUCAGCCAAUGAGUCCAACAACCGUGAAACAAGUCAGCGUUGUUUGGGAUGCCUAUACAGCAACUAAGGAUGCCCAUGCUGUCUGCAUCCUUACAGAGUGGGAUGAAUUUAAGUCUCUCGACUAUAAGAAGAUGUAUGAUAGCAUGCAAAAACCUGCUUUUAUAUUUGAUGGUAGGAAUGUUGUGGACGCGGAGAAGCUUAGGGAGAUUGGAUUUAUAGUCUACUCAAUUGGUAAGCCUCUGGAUGCUUGGCUCAAGGACAUGCCAGCUGUUGCUUAAUCGCUUUACCUGGCUCGAGUAGUAGCUUGUUCACAAAUCAAAGAUAUUACUUAUAUGAUGCAGUCAGCUGGGAUUCUUACCUUUUUUUUUUACUACGUUCAGUUUCUGUUUUGUUUUAUCCCACUUAGGCUGAAAGACCAUUCAUGGUCACUACCAGACUCUUAAUGUUUCUUUUGUAUUGAUGAUAUCACCUUUGUCAUUUACUUGUCUUUGUCAGAGGAUUUUGUUUGUUCGAUUCAAAAAUCUUGCUACCAAACAUUUUGGGACAAGUUAU